rnacentral:tRNA from 2 species
UCAGCCCGUAGCGGGACGAGCCGCCGUAGGUCGGCUUCAUGCCGACGAUGCCGGUCACCGCGGCGGGCUGGC